CCUACGGGUGGCAGCAGUGAGGAAUAUUGGUCAAUGGCCGGAAGGCUGAACCAGCCAAGUCGCGUGAGGGACGACUGCCCUAUGGGUUGUAAACCUCUUUUAUAAGGGCAGAAUAAAUGCUACGUGUAGCAUGAUGCCUGUACCUUAUGAAUAAGCAUCGGCUAACUCCGUGCCAGCAGCCGCGGUAAUACGUAGGUGGCAAGCGUUGUCCGGAUUUACUGGGUGUAAAGGGCGUGCAUCCGGGAAGACAAGUCAGAUGUGAAAUCCCGCGGCUCAACCGCGGAACUGCAUUUGAAAAUGUUUUUCUUGAGUACCGGAGAGGUCAUCGGAAUUCCUUGUGUAGCGGUGAAAUGCGUAGAUAUAAGGAAGAACACCAGUGGCGAAGGCGGAUGACUGGACGGCAACUGACGGUGAGGCGCGAAAGCGUGGGGAGCAAACAGGAUUAGAUACCCCAGUAGUC
rnacentral:rRNA from 1 species